GACGAACGCUGGCGGCGUGCUUAACACAUGCAAGUCGAACGGUAAGGCCCUUCGGGGUACACGAGUGGCGAACGGGUGAGUAACACGUGGGUGAUCUAUCCUGCACUUCGGGCUAAGCCUGGGAAACUGGGUCUAAUACCGGAUAGGACCACUGCCUGCAUGGGUGGUGGAGGAAAGCUUUUGCGGUGUGGGAUGGGACCGCGGCCUAUCAGCUUGUUGGUGGGGUGAUGGCCUACCAAGGCGACGACGGGUAGCCGGCCUGAGAGGGUGACCGGCCACACGGGGACUGAGAUACGGCCCAGACUCCUACGGGAGGCAGCAGUGGGGAAUAUUGCACAAUGGGCGCAAGCCUGAUGCAGCGACGCCGCGUGAGGGAUGACGGCCUUCGGGUUGUAAACCUCUUUCAGUAGGGACGAAGCGCAAGUGACGGUACCUACAGAAGAAGGACCGGCCAACUACGUGCCAGCAGCCGCCGUAA
rnacentral:rRNA from 1 species